rnacentral:rRNA from 1 species
AGUGAACGCUGGCGGUAGGCCUAACACAUGCAAGUCGAACGGCAGCACAGGAGAGCUUGCUCUCUGGGUGGCGAGUGGCGGACGGGUGGGGAAUACAUCGGAAUCUACUCUGUCGUGGGGGAUAACGUAGGGAAACUUACGCUAAUACCGCACACGACCUACGGGUGAAAGCAGGGGAUCUUCGGACCUUGCGCGAUUGAAUGAGCCGAUGUCGGAUUAGCUAGUUGGCGGGGUAAAGGCCCACCAAGGCGACGAUCCGUAGCUGGUCUGAGAGGAUGAUCAGCCACACUGGAACUGAGACACGGUCCAGACUCCUACGGGAGGCAGCAGUGGGGAAUAUUGGACAAUGGGCGCAAGCCUGAUCCAGCCAUACCGCGUGGGUGAAGAAGGCCUUCGGGUUGUAAAGCCCUUUUGUUGGGAAAGAAAUCCAGCUGGCUAAUACCCGGUUGGGAUGACGGUACCCAAAGAAUAAGCACCGGCUAACUUCGUGCCAGCCGCCGCCGUAA